rnacentral:lncRNA from 1 species
GAACUCACAGUGAUCCUCCUGCCUCAGCUUCCCAAGUGCUGGGAUUACAGGCGUGAGCCACCACGCCUGGCUGUUAUGUUUAUUUUAAAACAUCCUCCAAGUGUUAACUUGCUGUUUUCUUUUUUCAGAUGUUUUGGAAGCAAAGUAUGAGAGCUUACGUGUACAAAAUGUGGAAAGAAAUGGAAAUAUUAUUUAUACUUACAAGGAUGAAAAGGGAAAUGUGGUCUUUGGAUUAUAUGAUUGCCAAACCAGACAAAAUGAGCGUCUGUAUACCUUUGAGAAAGACUUGCAAGUUGUCAGUUGCUCAGUCAACAAUGAGAGGACUUUGCUUGCUGCAAGUUUCAUUCAAUCCACUGAAGAAGGAAGAAGGAAUGAGCUUCAACCAGGUUCCAAAUGCUUAACUUUGCUGGUGGAAAUCUCCCCUGUUAACUAUGUGAAGGUCCUAAAGGCCGUGGAUAGCUGUGUUUGGGUACAGGUAAGUACCCUUGCUGGUUAACACUUACCACAUUGCUAAAGGGUAGGAACCCCUGGGAAAUGAUAUUUG